rnacentral:rRNA from 1 species
UACGUAGGGUGCGAGCGUUAAUCGGAAUUACUGGGCGUAAAGCGUGCGCAGGCGGUUUGUUAAGCGAGAUGUAAAAGCCCCGGGCUCAACCUGGGAACGGCAUCCGGAACUGUCAAGCUAGAGUGCAGGAGAGGAAGGUAGAAUUCCCGGUGUAGCGGUGAAAUGCGUAGAGAUCGGGAGGAAUACCAGUGGCGAAGGCGGCCUUCUGGACUGACACUGACACUGAGGUGCGAAAGCGUGGGUAGCAAACAGG